rnacentral:lncRNA from 1 species
AUGCGCCUCAGCCUGACACCUCCGGACAGCGCGCUCCCCUCCCCCGCGCGCCCGCCGGCGCCCGCCCCCCGGGCCCGCGUCCCGCGCCCUGCCCUCAGUCGGCUCCGGCCCUCCCGCAAGGGGCUGCAGCACCCACUCGCCCAGGCCCUCAGUCCGCGUUCACCUGCGCUCCGCUUCACCUGCCUGCGCGGCCCGGCGGCGGGAGGCAGUCUUAGAGGCUCCUCCUCCGCGUCCCGGCUCCCCGCCGCCCGGCUCCCGCAUCUCCCGCCAGUACGUUCCUGUCCCCUCCCGCCCUCAAGUCCCGGAUCGCGGGGGUGUCAGGCCGCGGCUCAGACACGGCGUACGGCCAAGUGGUGGCGGCUCGGGCGAGCAAAGAGUGGCCAGGAAGUGGACAUCCUGCGGCGCACCCUGGCUGUCCCGCCAAGGCCUGAAGGAACCCGGUUCUUUCCUAAGAGACGAGGGGACCAAAAGGGCCCGCCCCUGCGGGAGGAGCGCAGCUUCGGCUGGGGAGCUGGCCAAUGGGAGGCGAGGACUGCAGCACAACGUGGAGCGGCUGCAGAAUGUAAACACAGCCCGGCGAGCGUCCGGCCACGUGUGUCCCCGCGCGCCACCCGUCGGGCCCCUGGGACCACCAGGGGCGGCUGUGGCACACCAGGGCAGCCAUGCUCGAGGAUGCCUAUCUUGCACUUUGCUCCAGCCCGCCGGCCGAGGGGUACCCUCACUGUUUCUAUUAACGCCCCACCCGAGCGCGCCUCAAGACCGGACAUCUCCAAGUAGGACAUGCCGAUGAUACUCUGCAAACAGGUUUUCCAGCGGGAGCAGUGGGGCGGGGGACGCCUCCAGGAACAAAGACCCCCGAGGUGGAGGAGCUGUGCGGAGGCUUCCUGGAACCCGCGGCGCUCGGGCCGGACGCGGACCGGCCGUGCUCGUCCCCCUGCCCUGGCCCUGAGUGAGCCCUGGGAGAGGUCAGGGGGCACGGAGCCGCCGGGGUGGCCGCGCGUCGCGGCCCAGGCGGGAGCCCUUCCCAAGAUGCACCAGGCGGUUGGUGGCGGCGGCGGCGGCGGUGCCCGGGACCGAACUUGGGUCGCCGCUCCGCGCCUUUUGUGCUGCUCCGCCCGUCCCGGCCUCAGAGCCUAGAAAUGAGUGCUUCUCGGGGUUUUCGGGCCGGCAAAGUCCUUUUUCACAGUUUCUCUUUCGAUUCUUAGAACGGUAUCGUGACACCGACAAAGUAAUUGUUUUCAAAACUGGUGGCCUAAAUGAGUGAAUUUGAUAAUCAAAAUAUACUGAAAACCAGGGAUGUCUGUUAACUUUUGUAGGAUAGCACUGGACUGACUAGUAAAUUACUUGUAAAUGAGACAUUGUAAUUAUAGGAAUGAACUUUAGUCAAUGUGUUCCCCAUGCCCUUGACUAUGAAGUGAAUGAGUGCAAUCAUAGUAAAGGAAAAAUUAAAAACAAUCCCAAGUCUGCUUUGUGUGGAAACGAACAGGAUGAAUUCUGCCAUAUUACAAGUACCUGUUCGGUGGUCAAAUGGGACUAAAAAGAAUAUGGGUUUGGGGCCGCCCCGUGGCCGAGUGGUUAAGUUCCCGUGCUGUGCUUCGUGGCCCAGGGUUUCGCCAGUUCAAAUCCUGGCCGUGGACAUAGCACCGCUUGUCAAGCCAUGCUGAGGCGGCAUCCCACAUGUCACAACUAGAAGGACCCACAUCCAAAAAUACACAACUAUGUACAGGGGAGGGGCUUUGGGAGAAAAAGGAAAAAUAAAAUCUUUAAAAUGAAAAAAAAAGAAUGUGAG